rnacentral:rRNA from 1 species
GACGAACGCUGGCGGCGUGCCUAAUACAUGCAAGUAGAACGCUGACUACUUUAGCUUGCUAGAGUAGAAGGAGUUGCGAACGGGUGAGUAACGCGUGAGCAAUCUGCCUUUCAGAGGGGGAUAACAGCCGGAAACGGCUGCUAAUACCGCAUAAUGCAUCGGAUUCGCAUGUUUCUGAUGCCAAAGAUUUUAUCGCUGAAAGAUGAGCUCGCGUCUGAUUAGCUAGUUGGCGGGGUAACGGCCCACCAAGGCGACGAUCAGUAGCCGGACUGGAGAGGUUGGACGGGCCACAUUGGGACUGAGACACGGCCCAG